rnacentral:lncRNA from 1 species
GUGAUGACCCUAUAUGGUGAUGGGUGUAAUAAAGGCCUUGACCGGAUGAGGUAACGUGAGACAUUGGCAAACGGCCAUGCGGCUGGAGAGAGACAAAGGAUAAUAAAAAAGCUACGAGAGGAGAGAGAAGUUCGAAAGGAGCUGCUCAUACCAUCCUGAAAAUAUUGCUGGCUCUCUGUGUCUUUAUUUUAUGCUAAACUGCGCCAUUUGUGACGGCUGGCUCCGACAAGUGGUGCCCCGUGUGAGGCAGAAUAAAAGAAUACGUCUGAGGCUUUUAAAAGAAAACCGUGUGAGGUUUUUCGAUCCAAGCAAAGGAUAUCAUCGGCUCACCACGCCCGGCAAGGGUUUCAAGCGCAAAUCAUCUUAAAAAGAUCCCGGUGAGUUCGAUCUCUUUUUUUUAUCUCGAUUUUAGAAAAAUGGGCAGCUCUUUGUCUACUCCCCAACAGAAAUUUUUAAAAGAUUUAAAAUUUCUCCUCUCCUCCAACAAAUUGGAAGUUCCGGAGGGUGAUUUGAUACAGCUCAUUCUGGCCAUCGAAGAGCAUUCCCCCUGGUUUCCUGCAGAUGGGACUUGGGAAUUGAAACAUUGGGACAAGAUCGGGGCACAUUUUCAUGGGCACCCCAGCAUUGGUCUUGGAGUCUAAAUGCAUGGUGCAAGGUUCGUUACGCCAUGGGCUCUUUAUCACCAAAAAAUAUCUCCCUGGCUGCAUUGCCAACACAACCUCCAGCUUCCUUAGUCCAGCCUGCUGUGUUAGCCUCUGUUCCAAUACUUGCUUUGCCAGCAGCCCCAGACCCCAAACCUCCGGACUACAGUUCCUCACCAGAGGACCCAAUCCUGCAAAAAUACCGUGGUCUGGCUGGCAAUGAUCCUAAUCUUUCAGCGGCAGAACCAGCUACCCCUUUUCAACGUGCAGUCCUUGCCUGUUCCUUAAUUCAGGAUACUAUGGCAUUCCCUGUUAUUGUGCCCCCUGCUGGUGCCCCGGCAGGCACCCAAGCCCAACACCAACCUUUUGACUUUAAGAUUUUGAAAGAGCUGCAACAGUCAGUAAAGGCCAAUGGACUCCAAGCCACAUUAGCCCAGCUCUUGGUUCCAGAGGACAUCAAGCUUUUGGCCCAUACAGUGUUACCCCCAUCAGCUGGUGUUUUGUUUGCCCACGAAUGGGAAACUGCCUGCCGUGCUUAUGCUCCAGCCUUGUUACAACAAGUCAGAGGAAAUAAUCCAAAUGUUACCCUCGCAGACGUCAUAGAUGCCAUGAUGGGGCGUGAUCCCUUCGCUCAAGUUUCAGUGCAAGCCACACUGCUGCAAAUCUUAUUGAGGGACACUGCUUUUGCUGCUAAACAAGCAAUGAGAAAAAUCCCAGAACCCAGUAUUCAAUCAAGGUGGGGUUCAAUCAGGCAAGAGGCAAGAGAAUCAUAUUCUUCCUUUAUGGACAGGCUGCUUACAGCAGUGAGUCGCCAAAUUGAAAAUCCUGAAGCCAAACAAAUAAUUAUCAAACAAUUGGCCUUUGAAAAUGCCAAUGAGGAUUGUAAGGUUGCGUUACGACCGAUAAUACACAAUCCUGACACAGACACAGCAGCCAUGCUUCGCAUUUGUCAGUCUGUAGGUACAGCCACCCACAAGGCUCAUCUGCUGGCAACAGCGCUAAAUGAAAACCAGCCUGUAGCCACCGAUACAACUUGUUUCCAGUGUGGCAAACCAGGAUCACCGAUACCCCAGUGGGGGUAGAACAGUGGCCUCUACCAAAAGAAAAAUCCGCAACAGCGGCACCAGCUAUCUCUGACCAGCUUAUUUCUGAACAAUUGACUUUCGGCCACAUUGAACCAUCUUCAUCCCACUGGCUCCAGCAGACAGGGAACGGUUUGCUUUACAUUGCCAGCAUAUAACAAUUCGCAGCCCACCCAGCGAUAUCAGUGGGUUGUCCUGCCUCAAGGCAUGCGGAACUCCCCUACACUUUGUCAACAUUUUGUGGGUGAAGCAUUGAAACCUUUCCGCAUGCGCCACCUAGAGGUGCUGCACACGAGCUGCAUCUGGCAGUGUUUGCCUUCCUAACCAUUUGCCUUGCCAUCCUUUGCUGCACCGUUAUACAAGGAAGAGAAGCAGACGACCAGUCCAGUUGAAACCACCAUAUUUCACCUCAUCGGCUGGCAAGCAGCUGUCGUCAGAAUCCUACUCUGGCUGGCAGUAUCCACGGCUCAGCCACUUUCGAACUAGAAAAACAGCAUUGUUGAAUAAGACUUUUAGGGGAGAAAAUUAUCACAAGAUAUGGAGGGAUAAUAUUUUUGUACAAGAUAUGAUUAUGUUUGCCAGUUUAUUGCAUGCUUCUAAAUGUUGGGUGUGUAUGCCAGUCAUUCAGGCAUAAUGCUUCAUGGUGUGCCUGUCAAUGGAUCUUUUCAAUUUACUAAUAUUAUAUCCCCUAAGCAAACUUUUUGGCCUCCAGUACAAUUGACCCUCCAUGAGCCUGCCCCCAUUUGUUUUCAAAUUAAAGAGGGGAAAGAAUCAUGGGGCAUAUAUCCAAACUGUCAAUAUACAUUGAAUUUCACUUUUAAUAGCUCUUGUUCUCUUACAGGAACAUACAGUGACCAAUCUCAGUGCUAUAGGAGUGACACCAGUGCAUGGCUAAUAAACUAGAAAGGAAGCCUACCAUGCAGCUUGGAAUCAGAAUUCUUAUAUUCUUGGCUCCCAGAUGGGAGUUGGCUUCGACAUUUAUUGAUUUUAGUGAUCAUUAUAGUAGUUAUUUGCAUUAUUUUGUGUUGCUGUAUCCAAUGUAUUCCUUCUUUAAUUUCUAUAUGUACUGCAUGGUUCUCCAGUCCGCGGCCCGCUUCCGGUGUCACAAGAGUCGCUUAUCACGCUCGAUAUAACCGUAUUGGUACUGACAUAUAUGACUCUGAUUAAUAAAAUUAAGAAAGAGGGCAUGUGGGAGUCAUAAAGCCACAGCAAAGGCUUGUAAUAUUGCAGGGUGCCCCCUGACCUCGGCUGACCAGCACUCUGAGCUUUACAAUGUAUUGGAAUGUAUUGACCUUAAAUGGAGUUGUGUUUCCUCUGGGCAGUGAUGACCCUAUAUGGUGAUGGGGGUAAUAAAGGCCUUGACCAGAUGAGGUAACGUGAGACAUUGGCAAACGGCCAUGCGGCUGGAGAGAGACAAGGGAUAAUAAAAAAGCUACGGGAGGAGAGAGAAGUUCGAAAGGAGCUGCUCAUACCAUCCUGAAAAUAUUGCUGGCUCUCUGUGUCUUUAUUUUAUGCUAAACUGCGCCAUUUGUGACGGC